rnacentral:hammerhead_ribozyme from 1 species
GUCCAGCUGACGAGUUCCAAAUAGGACGAAACGCGUGUCCUGAAU